rnacentral:tRNA from 1 species
UCCAGAAAGCAUAAUUAAUAAUGUGUCAGGUUUAGGUCUUGGCGAUGAGGUGUUCCUCUCUGGAAUU